AGGAGGACUUGGAGCAACCUACCCCGCCACAGGAGGACCAGGCAGCCAAAGAAGAAGAGGUGGCUGAGGAGGUUAAGAGUGGAGGCGACUAGAAGGCUGCCAGCCGGCUGUGGAGAUACCCCCCCAGACACACCCCUCUGCCUUAGAGCCCACCCCCACACAGCAUACGUGCCCAGUGUGGAAUGCCCAGCAGGCUGCCCAUGCUCCUGCGCUGUCCCUGAGCCUCCACCUCCUGCGGGCCCCACCCGCUCCUGUCCUUCUGACCCCGUAAGACCAGAUGCUGCUGUGAACUUCCAUUCCCUUUUUAAACAUGAUUUCAAAUAAAACGAGCUCCAACCU